rnacentral:rRNA from 1 species
AUUGAACGCUGGCGGCAGGCCUAACACAUGCAAGUCGAGCGGAGCGGCGGACGGGUGAGUAAUGCCUAGGAAUCUGCCUGGUAGUGGGGGAUAACGUCCGGCAACGGGCGCUAAUAUCGCAUACUAUCAGAUGAGCCUAGGUCGGAUUAGCUAGUUGGUGGGGUAAAGGCCUACCAAGGCGACGAUCCGUAGCUGGUCUGAGAGGAUGAUCAGUCACACUGGAACUGAGACACGGUCCAGACUCCUACGGGAGGCAGCAGUGGGGAAUAGUGGACAAUGGGCGAAAGCCUGAUAGAGCCAUGCCGCGUGUGUGAAGAAGGUCUUCGGAUUGUAAAGCACUUAAAGUUGGGAGGCGUUACCUACAGAAUAAGCACCGGCUAACUACGUGCCAGCAGCCGCGGUAAUAC